rnacentral:lncRNA from 1 species
UUUUUUUUUUUUUUUUUUUUUUUUUUUUUUGCUUUUCAGGGGUGCACCUGCAGCACAUGAAUGUUCCCAGGCUAAGGGUCAAACCGGAGCUACAGCUGCUGACCUACACCACAGCAACGCUGGAUCUGAGCCACAUCUGAGACCUACACUGCAGCUUACAGCAAUGCCACCUCCUUAACCCACUGAGGGGGGCCAGGGAUGGAACCCACAUCCUCAAGGAUACUUGUCAGGUUUGUAACCACUGAGCCCCAGUGGGAACUCUAUAAAUGUAAUGUUUCUUAUAUCACUUUUGGAAGACCUGGGUUUCUAGACUCUGCUCUAAGUAGCUCAUUAACAGGAUUCUAUCUAGUUCAUCUCCCUAUACCUUAGGUCUUCAAAAGAAAAGCACUCUCAGGUUCCAACUAAAGCUUGAAUGUUUAUAAAUCAGGCAAGAGGAACUCUGAGUGUUCUAGUGAAGAUUUUUGUUUUGUUUUGCUUUUUUUCUUUUUAUGGCCGCACCUGCAGCACGUGGAAGUUCCCAGGCUAGGGGUCGAACUCGGAGCUACAGCUGCUGGCCUACACCACAGCCACACCAGCACUGAAUUUGAGCCAUGUACGAGACCUACACCACAUCUCACGGCUAUGCCAGAUCCUUAACCCACUGAGCGAGGCCAAGGAUGGAACCCUCAUCCUCGCGGAUACUUGUUGGGUUCAUAAUCGCUGAGCCACAAGGGGAACUACAAAGAUUUUUGUUUUUAAUGUUGGUGGCUUCCUUAACAACAUCCCCUCAUUCGGCGAGAUGUGUUCUAGUGCUUUCCAACAGCCCUGCGGUCACCUCUAGCCUCCUAUAAGGUAGAAAUUCAAAAUUUGGAAGAACUAAUGAUAGCUACCCACCUCAAAAUACUAAGAACAAGCAUCCUUUAGCUGCCAUGUACCACAUUUUUUUUCUGCAACGGAUCCUUCCUGCAGAAAGAUGUCUCGUGACUGGGAGAGCAGCUUUGGAGAGAUGUGUCCAGGAGAAGAAAUGACCCUUGAGCAUCAUUCUCUUUUAAGUGUAUGAUUUAGAUUAUAAAGACAGACAGAGGAAGAACUAAGAAUGUGGUACGUACGGACUUCUAAUUGCAAGUGCACCCCGGGAGGAGGUGGAAGAGGUGGGGUGUCAGUGAACUAAGCCUUCACUUAACCCAGCAGGGAGGCAAUAGAUGCCGCGUAAAGCUGAGACAUCACUUUGCAGCAGUUUAAGCAAAUGCUAUUUAAUGAUGUGGAAGCAACCACCAAAAGAACUAAAAACAAAAGUAGUUAAAUGUGGUUGCCUUAGGGGAGGGGAUCUGAGGUUGAGGAAGGAGUUUUCUUUUCCCUCUAAGACCUUCUGCCGUAUUGCAUUUUAUAAUCAUUUGUAAGGAUGUCCCUGGUUUUAGAAAAAGAAAACAAAAUUCUGCUUCCCCAGGAAGACACCAUCCUUGAGGGUGUUUCUGUUUCUGUGUUUCUGUUCCCCUACGUCUCAACCCCGGGGCUUCUGAUGAACAGGAUGUGGCGCCAAUGGAGAGGAGGGUGUGUUCACUGUUCAUGCCAGGGGGUUGGGGGGUAAGGGUGGGGACCGAACGAUCUUUCUAGAAGUGGGAGUGACUGUUCAGAAGUGCUCCAUGUUCUUUCAAAAAAGUACAUUUUCUGCAAACAGCUAGGAUCUAAACCAUCAAUAAUGAAGGUGGGGAAAUAGCCAGGCAUCAGAGCUCAUUUACAAGGGGAGUGAUUGCCAGGUAUGAUCUUGGCUAAUUGCUUGGAGUAAGGGGCCUAGGAAAGCAUCUGCAAAAGAAAACGCAAUCCUAGGGAGAGUGUGAAAAGUUUAGAUCUAGAUGUACCAGGUGUCUGUAUCCUAAGAGGCAUGGUCAUUUUCAGGUUGGAAGCCAGAGAUGGGCACAUGGGGGAUGGGAAGGCUAACAGGCUGGGCUGAGAAGACCCGAGUUCUGGCCGUGCCCCAAGCAACACCCGGCUGUGGCCUCUGAACUCCUUAUCGAUGGCCCUGCACAGAGCACAGGCAUAUGGGGUAACCGUGAUUACGCCAUUCUCUCCUCUCAGUUUCUGUCUGCUUAGCUGCACGUGUGAAUUUAACAAUUUCUCCUUCUAGAGUUGUUUUGAGGAUUCAGUGAGUUAAUACAGCAAAUGCACUGGAAUUCUGCAAGCACUUAACUGAUUUCCCUAGCUUGAGCUUCCCCAGGUUACAGCCUUUCAAUAACUUCCCAUUCCUGGGGCGUUACAUCCCAAUAUAACGUGAGCGACAACUGGGAGCCAUAGACGCGAUGCUAAAUAUUCUAGAAGCCACCCUUUAAAACAGUAACACGAAACAAGUCCCAUUAAUUUUAAUAAGAGCAUAUUGAUCGAAUAUAUUUUAUCUAAAAUAUUUUAAGUUUAAUAGAUAAUCCCCAUAGAAAAUUAUUAAUGGGACAUUUUACUUUCUUUCUUUCUUUUUUUUCUUACUAGGUCUCUGAAAUCCACUUACAAUGCACAUGAAUUUGGAUUUGGACUGGCCGAAUUCCAGGUGCUGAAAUGCCACAUGUGGCUGACUGCAGGCUACCACACUGAACUGUGUAGAUCUAGAUCUUCGUUCAGCCUCUCCAGAAGCCCUCAGAGUCUCUGGCCUCUUCUCACAGACUCCUCCCUCUGUCUCAGACACGCCGCCUACAACCGCCAACCCACUUUGCUGGGCUAACUUUCAAAUCAGGUCACUUCCUCCUGGAAAUUCCCC